ACUCCUACGGGAGGCAGCAGUGGGGAAUAUUGCACAAUGGGCGCAAGCCUGAUGCAGCAACGCCGUGUGAGUGAAGAAGGUUUUCGGAUCGUAAAACUCUGUCCUAAGGGAAGAAACAAAUGACGGUACCUUAGGAGGAAGCCCCGGCUAACUACGUGCCAGCAGCCGCGGUAAUACGUAGGGGGCAAGCGUUAUCCGGAAUCACUGGGCGUAAAGGGUGCGUAGGCGGCUUAGCAAGCCAGGGGUGAAAGGCAUUGGCUCAACCAAUGUAAGCCUUUGGAACUGUUAAGCUUGAGUGCAGGAGAGGUAAGUGGAAUUCCUAGUGUAGAGGUGAAAUUCGUAGAUAUUAGGAGGAACACCAGUGGCGAAGGCGACUUACUGGACUGUAACUGACGCUGAUGCACGAAAGCGUGGGGAGCAAACAGGAUUAGAUACCCUUUAGCACAGAG
rnacentral:rRNA from 1 species